ACUCCUACGGGAGGCAGCAGUGGGGAAUAUUGCACAAUGGGCGCAAGCCUGAUGCAGCAACGCCGCGUGAGGGACGACGGCCUUCGGGUUGUAAACCUCUUUUAGAAGGGAAGAAGCGAAAGUGACGGUACCUGCAGAAAAAGCACCGGCUAACUACGUGCCAGCAGCCGCGGUAAUAUGUAGGGUGCGAGGGUUAUCCGGAAUUAUUGGGCGUAAAGAGCUCGUAGGCGGUUUGUCGCGUCUGCUGUGAAAACUGGAGGCUCAACCUCCAGCCUGCAGUGGGUACGGGCAGACUAGAGUGCGGUAGGGGAGAUUGGAAUUCCUGGUGUAGCGGUGGAAUGCGCAGAUAUCAGGAGGAACACCGAUGGCGAAGGCAGAUCUCUGGGCCGUAACUGACGCUGAGGAGCGAAAGCAUGGGGAGCGAACAGGAUUAGAUACCCUGGUAGUCCAUGCCGUAAACGUUGGGAACUAGAUGUAGGGACCAUUCCACGGUUUCUGUGUCGCAGCUAACGCAUUAAGUUCCCCGCCUGGGGAGUACGGCCGCAAGGCUAAAACUCAAAGGAAUUGACGGGGGCCCGCACAAGCGGCGGAGCAUGCGGAUUAAUUCGAUGCAACGCGAAGAACCUUACCAAGGCUUGACAUAUACCGGAAAAGUUCAGAAAUGUUCUCCCCGCAAGGUCGGUAUACAGGUGGUGCAUGGUUGUCGUCAGCUCGUGUCGUGAGAUGUUGGGUUAAGUCCCGCAACGAGCGCAACCCUCGUUCUAUGUUGCCAGCACGUAAUGGUGGGAACUCAUAGGAGACUGCCGGGGUCAACUCGGA
rnacentral:rRNA from 1 species